rfam:Myotis brandtii contig259260, whole genome shotgun sequence.
GGCAGUUCUCGGGUGACCUACCCUGGAAUUGGGCUCCAUCCUCUCUGGUUCUGGGGUGCAUCACCCGAGAACCGCC